AGAAUAUUAUAUUCCCCAUAAAAACUACUUGAACCGAUUAAUCGAUUAUGAAAACAGUUAGCGAUUCAUUUAGUAAUCGAUUAACUGUUGCACCUCUGGUCACGUUAAGAAAAAAUUAUUUUGGACAAAUGCAUCAAGUGUAUCAUUUUACAAUCCAUCACGUUUUUAUAAUUUUGUCUAUCCUCCCCAGGGAACCUCUUAAGAUGAGUCUUCUCAGGCACCAAGCAAAGUCAUCUUGUCUGUGGCAAGCCACAACAACCAUCGAGCAGCUGAAGUCUCUCUCGAGGUGUCAUAGUCGCCGGGGAGAUGACGACAUUACCCCAAACUAAAGGCACUACAGAGACCGGGAACAGGCACAUUGUCUUGGGGCGCCGAAAACUCUCCACCUCGUUGAGCUGUGUGAAUGAACCAAAAAUCUACUUCAUAUAUUGGGCUCUUAUAAUAAACACUGCUGCUUGAGACAUCAACGGUUUCCGUCUUCCUGGUUCAUCAUCCACUCCAUCAAUUAUUCCAUUUCACAUCACACACACACACACACAAACAAAAACACCCCUCAAUAUCACCCAGUGUCCUAAAGAGGGCGGGUCCUGCAGAGAGGAGGGGGCGGGGCCUGUGCCUGUGCCUGUUGACAGUCAUCAUGCUGGUGCUUGUAGUGAACACGACGAAGGUUACAGCUCUGGCUUGGAACCAGCGACACGAGUUGGAGCCAUGCUAAAGAUGUCUCGGUCGGCACUGCAUUACUAUCUGACCUUUAAAAUGUCCACCUGCCUCGAUGCUCCUGCCUGUAAAUGUCCACCUGCCUCGAUGCUCCUGCCUGUAAAUCACCUACACACGUCCGUUCACACUGCACUGCGUGCCAACGGUACUGUAUGUCACUGACGUCAUGGUAUAACAACCAUGCUGAACAUUGUGAUCCUUUAAGUUCAAUGGAGUUUUUUUUCUUCUGUUGUGCCACUGACGGCUACCGUUAUUCCUGCUGCUCCGCCACAUGCGCCGUUAUGCGGGGUAACGCCAUCCCUUCUCGAUCGGUCCGAUCCGCCGAGUCCAGUUCCACUCGCAGCGUGGAAGGGGAACCGACUAAAUGUUGGAUUUGCUGUCACAACGGCUUCAGCUUUCCGUGUACUUCUCUGUUGCACAUAGCACGGCACAGGAAACGAGGAAGAGACGGUCAAAUGCCAAAUCUAUUUUAGAUCCAACUUGUGGAUGUGAGACAUGAAACAAGGAGGAUGAGGAGGAGGAGGAGGAGGAGUGGGGGAAAGAGAGGGGGGAUAUUGUAUAAGAUGUGAGAAAUAUCAAGCUUAAUGAUGCAGACACAUCUUAUAUUACCACGUGUAAGGAUUCAGCUGUGCUGUGACAUUGAUUUCUCAUAAACACCAACAUAUAGCACAAAGUGUAGGCCUGAUGCGAGGAGCUGUAAAAGCUGUAAAGCGGGGACAAGCGCGCCGAGUCUUUUCUCGUCAUAUGAAAUGUGCUUUAUAAAUAAACUCGACAUGACUUUUUGAAAUAUGUGUAAGAUGCUCUGAGUUAGAACUUUGUUUCUCAUGACAUACUGACAACUGGAAUGGCAUCAUUUAUUCAUCCUUUGGGGAGCACUUUGCUCGCUGCAACCCCAAUGAUGUUCUGAAUAAUGCAGAGGUGAGCCACCUCUCAGUCCUCCUCUGCAGCACAUCCAACUGAUACUUUCCAUUUGACUGAAACAAUCCAGAAACUAUUUGUAUAAUGGAUUUAUCAAAACUGAAUAGUUAGUACAGAUGUUACGGAAGUACGUCUCCAAUGGUAUCGGCUUGUAAAAUGUUAGACAAACAAUAGAAAUACUAACAUAUUCUGUGUGAGAUAAGCUUGGAACCAAAAUUAUGAUUGCGAAACGAUAAUACUACUGAGAUAAUUAAAAUGAUAUCAUUUGAUUUUCUGUCAUUUUAUUGUAGCUUGUGGAUUCUAGUAAAGAGGGGACUGAUGCCACUAUCUCUCACACAGAUUUGAGCCACACACACACACACACCUCAUAUGUGGGGUAAAAAUGUAGUAACAUCUUUAAUACCAUUUCGUUUGCACAGCAUAUAUAUAUUACAACCUCAAUUCUUUUACCUUUUUUACCUUUUGCAUUGAACCAGCAAGCAUCUCAUAAAGCAUUUUCAAAAACAUCCUAAAAUUUCACUAUCCUAAAAAAAUGACUAUUUACUUUUCUCCGUUUCAUACAAAAUGUGCUUCCAAUCAUUUAAAGUACAUAAUGAUGAGAUGAACAACAAAAACAAAAGAUGCGUAUAAAAUGAUCUACUGGGUUAACUGCACAUGUCAGUUAUCAUCAUGGCCUCAUGGAAAAUUCUGCCCUUUAGAAGUGGAAAAUGAAGCUUCUGCUCCUCCGCUGAUUUCAUCACAGGAAAUGUCCC